UUUCAUGCCUAAACUUUAAAUUAUCCUUUUUAAUAACAUACCAAUGCAAUAGUUUGUAUUCAUUCGUGUGCACUUGUAACAGGAUGCAAUAAAAAACGGAAAAGGUAACGGAUAAGAAUUUUAAAAUAAGAGGAAGGAAAAAGAAAAAGAGAAAUACCCAGAGGAGAUGAAGAGUCGACCAAAGGUGGCCAGAAAGAGGCGAGACUGUAGACCAGGGUGAAGAAAAUAAACAGUUUCAAGAUUGCUUUGAACGGAUGGUGGGAUAUCAUCGAAAAUAGAUCGGAGAGCUGAGAUUCCAGGGAAAUUCUGUCCUCUAUCAACACCAGUGUGGA